rnacentral:rRNA from 1 species
GAUGAACGCUGGCGGCGUGCCUAAUACAUGCAAGUCGAGCGAACGGACGAGAAGCUUGCUUCUCUGAUGUUAGCGGCGGACGGGUGAGUAACACGUGGAUAACCUACCUAUAAGACUGGGAUAACUUCGGGAAACCGGAGCUAAUACCGGAUAAUAUUUUGAACCGCAUGGUUCAAAAGUGAAAGACGGUCUUGCUGCCACUUAUAGAUGGAUCCGCGCUGCAUUAGCUAGUUGGUAGGGUAACGGCUUACCAAGGCAACGAUGCAUAGCCGACCUGAGAGGGUGAUCGGCCACACUGGAACUGAGACACGGUCCAGACUCCUACGGGAGGCAGCAGUAGGGAAUCUUCCGCAAUGGGCGAAAGCCUGACGGAGCAACGCCGCGUGAGUGAUGAAGGUCUUCGGAUCGUAAAACUCUGUUAUUAGGGAAGAACAUAUGUGUAAGUAACUGUGCACAUCUUGACGGUACCUAAUCAGAAAGCCACGGCUAACUACGUG